rnacentral:rRNA from 1 species
UCUACGGGUAGCAGCAGUGGGGAAUUUUGGACAAUGGUCGCAAGCCUGCUCCAGCUAUUCCGCGUGUGGGAUGAAGGCCCUCGGGUUGUAAACCCCUUUUGUAGAGAACGAAAAGACACCUUCGAAUAAAGUGUUUUGCUGCCGGUACUCUAAGAAUAAGCACCGGCUAACUACGUGCCAGCAGCCGCGGUAAUACGUAGGGUGCGAGCGUUAAUCGGAAUUACUGUGCGUAUAGGGUGCGCAGGCGGUUGAGUAAGACAGAUGUGAAAUCCCCGAGCUUAACUCGGGAAUGGCAUAUGUGACUGCUAGACUAGAGUGUGUCAGAGGGAGGUGGAAUUCCACGUGUAGCAGUGAAAUGCGUAGAUAUGGGGAAGAACACCGAUGGCGAAGGCAGCCUCCUGGGACAUAACUGACGCUCAGGCACGAAAGCGUGGGGAGCAAACAGGAUUAGAUACCCGUGUAGUC